UUUGUAUGAUGACUAUAAUUUGCGAUUGAGCGAUGGUAUUGCUCGGGAUCUUGCCUGAUUCCCAUAUGGGCUCCAUCAGUAUGCGACAAAUAAUCUUCUGA
rnacentral:snoRNA from 1 species